rnacentral:rRNA from 1 species
CACGUAGGGCGCAAGCGUUGUCCGGAAUUAUUGGGCGUAAAGAGCUCGUAGGUGGUUUGUUACGUCUGCUGUGAAAACCUAGGGCUUAACCCUGGGCUUGCAGUGGAUACGGGCAGACUAGAGGUAGGUAGGGGAGAAUGGAAUUCCUGGUGUAGCGGUGAAAUGCGCAGAUAUCAGGAGGAACACCGGUGGCGAAGGCGGGUCUCUGGACAGUUCCUGACACUGAGGCACGAAGGCCAGGGGAGCAAACGGG